rnacentral:lncRNA from 1 species
CCCAUUUUAGAUCAUUUUAAUUUAUAAAAUACUACUAAAGCAUAUCCAUGAUAUAUAUUUUGAAAUGCAAUCUAUUUAAAAAGUACAAUUCAUCAAUUUACUCAUCAAGGAAAAAAGUAUUGAAAUUAUUUAAAAAGUAUAUCUUGAUAUUUCCCAUUGUCAAUAUGUAUGAUUUGUUGUAACUUCCUUGCUUCAAUCUUUCAGAUCUUUAAGGAGGUAGACCUAGGUUAAGUGAAAUAACUCUUAAAAUCAUCAGUACGUUUAUGUCAACCAUCUUCAUCAUUAAUUGCAAGCUUCUAUGUUACAUAGAUUAUUUCCAAUCUGUUUCAGGUAAAUGCUUAAAAUACUUUAUGAAAUUUGACUUUAACAAAACUCAACACCGAAUUUUUGAGUUAUAUCCCUGAACAAAGCUAUAUCCUUUAAUGCAAAAUAAAAAUACAUUGAAAUUUAUAUGGCACAAAAAAAGAAAUGGAAUACCUUGAAAAUAACAACAACUUUUUGUACAGAAAGUAGGGUGUUCAAUCUUCAGCAUAAGAUAUUUAUUAAAAUUGAAAUAUAUAUAUUUAUAUUUAUGGCACAAUAGAAAGAAAUGUAAUUCAUCUUCUUCAAAAUAACAACAGGUGGUGAUUUCAGUCAGGUAUAUAUAGCAGUUUGAGAAAUUUUAGUAUUGAGAAGCUUAGUAUUUUCUUAAUAAUAGAACCUGAUUAAAACAUUCAGCUGAAUUUACAGAGUUAUCUCCCAGUAGUGUAAUGUACCAUCUUUACAUAUAAACAAAGAAAGACAAAUCUUAUCGAUAAGGGAGACAAUUUCUUGGAAGUGAACAUUGUUGGACUAGAAAUGUUAAAAAUAACCAUACAAAAAUGAAAGUUGGAGGUAGAAUAAAGAAAAAUAACAUAUUUCACAUAAAAAAUCUUAAAAGACAUUCAUACAAAUAUUCAGCAAAAAAAUCAGCAGAUCAUUUAUAAACAGCACUGACAUUCAAUAUAAGCAAAUGGGUAGUUAUUAAUUCUGAAAUAAUUUACCAGCAAACUACAUAUUUUGAUUAACAUGAACUGAAAUUGAUAUUAUUAAUUGACUAAUCAGAGAUUUUGACUACUGAUAUUAUUCAUAAUAUAUUUCUGUUAUAAGAUUUUACAUUUUACAUUAAAAAAAAUGGAGAUAAACAUGUACAUUAAAAAAAAAUAUUUUGAAACAAGAAUGUGUCCAAAGAACACGGAUGAACCACUCGCACUAUGCUUUACCAUGUUCAACGGACCGUGAAAUUGGGUAAUAAUCUAAUUUGGCAUUAAAAUUAGAAAGAUUAUACUAUAGGGAACAUAUGUACUAAGUUUCAAGUUGAUUGGACUUCAAUUUUAUCAAAAACUACCUUGACCAAAAACUUUAACCUGAAACUCCCACUUUCAUUUUCUAUGUUUAGUGGACCGUGAAAUUGGGGUCAAAAGUCUAAUUUGGCUUUAAAAUUAAAAAGAUCAUAUCAUAAGCAACAAGUUUACUAAGUUUCAAGUUGAUUGGACUUCAGCUUCAUCAAAAACUACCUUGACCAAAAACUUUAACCUGAAACUCCCACUUUCAUUUUCUUUGUUCAGUGGACCGUGAAAUUGGGGUCAAACGUCUAAUUUGGCUUUAAAAUUAAAAAGAUCAUAUCAUAAGCAACAAGUGUACUAAGUUUCAAGUUGAUUGGACUUCAGCUUCAUUGAAAACUACCUUGACCAAAAACUUUAACCUGGACGGACGGACGAACGAACGGAAGCACAGACGGACAAACGGAGCCACAGACCAGAAAACAUAAUGCCCCUCUACUAUUGUAGGUGGGGAAUAAAAAAAAGAAACUGGAUGUGACCAGAACUUUAUCCUGCUAUGGGACAUAUGAACAGAUAGAACAGAAUCAUUUAUCCCCUACCAUCAAAGAACAGACAUAAAUUCUUGUUUCAAAGUUUCAAAAUUUGGUUGGUUUGUUUAUUGUUUAACAAAAAAAACCAACUGUCUAUCUUUUUUUUUGGGGAGGGGAGGGGUUAAAAUAUCAGAGAUCCAAAGAAAAAAUACAAAAAAAAAAUUAAAAGAUUGUUUUGCACUCACUCUGUGUUCAAAACUACCCUUGAAAGCUACUUAUAAAUCACAGAUCAGAAUUCUUUUUUAUCAAAGAGAACCCAUUUGAUUUUUCACAAUUUCAAUGGUAUUUUAAAGUGCGUUAUAAGACAAAACUAAAUGAAACCAUGUGUACAUAAAAAGGGUAUAUUUAAAAAUACUUUACAAAUAGCACCUCAGAAACCAGUGCACUGAACUCAUUUACAGUAAAAUAAUAAAGACAAAAUGAAUUUAUGACAUCUUUUUACAUUUCCAUAUCAGAGCUUCAUCAUUACCACUGAACCUCAGUUAAUAUUUCAUAAACAUAUGAUAACAAAAUAUACUGGCUCCGGAAAGUAAACAGGGUUUAAAGAGAAAACUAAUUUUCUAUGAAGAAUUAAUAAGUGAAGAAAAAGAUGAAUAUACUUGUGCUUUCAACAUGGGUAAAUUCAAGAUUUCAGUUUACAUGAUCUAAAAAUCAAAUGAUCUUUAUUGAGAAUAGCAAUCCAUAAAAUUUUGAUAAUAAAUACUAUUUUUUACACCCUCAAAAGGCAAUAUUGGGAGCCUCUGCUUUUUUUCAAUGAUGAGGUUUGUCUUUCUGUCAUUUCUGUUUUAGUUCUAUGAUUUAUAGCACUUUAUUAUGACUGAUUGAUUAUUCCAAGGCAAUACAUUCUGGGAAUCAAGUAUCAUAAUUAAUUUGUUUACCAGUUUUAAAAAGAUGUCAUAAAUAAACUUAUACAAUCAAGCAUUUAUACAGAUCUGUACACAAACACAAAUGUAUAUAUACAUUCAAGAUAUAAAAAUAUAAAUUGAUGGCAAGGGCAGCUGAAAAAUUGUAAAUUUCAUUUCUUACAACUAUAUAAUGUCAAGAUAUUCCCUAUGCUUGAAAAAAUUAAUCAAUCAUAUAAUACUGGCAUUUAAACAAAAAAGUUUCUCUGAGUACCAUUUUCUGGUAAAUUUAAUACAUUGUACAAUGGAAUGUAAUUUGAGUGAAUGUUUGAAUAUGAUAUAUAUUAUUUUUUGUUGUAAUAAAAAUUCAACUUUUUGAUAUUUUGUUAAAUUUAUAUUUUAUUCUUCUCAAAAUAGUAUUCAAAACAUAAUUCAAUGUUUUGAAUAUUACAGAAUUUGUCUUGACCUUCUCAACAUGGUUACAUCUCCCUCCCCCCUAAAAAAUAAUAUAAUAAAAAAAAAUAAUAAAAAUUAUGAUAUUAAUUAUGUUAAUGUUAGAAAACAAUGGAUUUCAAUAUUUAAUGAAAAUAAAAAAUACUGAAUUAGCCUGACAAGCAAAUAUUAAAAAUAUAAUUUUGUUUUUUUAAGACUCAUUGCACUUUUGUAGAAAUCCUCACCAAUACUGAAAACUUU